rnacentral:lncRNA from 10 species
CGGGCGGGCGAGGAGCGGGGAAGCUGACUCAGGGCUGCGGCCGGGGUCCUGCGGGGUAGGAGCGCGAGGCCGGCCUGAGGGAGGAGGCCUAGCGACCCAUCCGGCGCCUCCCGCCCCGGGCACCCGCCCGCGGCCGCGCAUCCUGCGGGCCCCAGGAGGCCUCCAUCUCAAAACAACGUGUUUUUAGAGAACUCAAGGGCUGUGAAAAGAGCAGGACCUCACCAGCUGCACGGCGGUGGUGACUGGCUCCAUCUUGCUGUCCCUCCCAAUCACACAACAUCUCCCCUUGAAGGCUCUGCCCAGGCCCGGACUCCCACCUUUCAAGAUGUCUGGAUCAGUGCAGGACCUCCUCCUUGGCCACAUCGCUCUCCUUGGACUGUGUUGACUCACCUGUGGAGUGGUCUGAGCCUGAAUGCCCGGGGCUGUGGCCACCGAGUGAACGGGCUGUGCUAAGGGGAAUUGCCACCUUGGGAAACCUGUGUAGUUGCGGCUUUUCUGAUUAAGUAUCAAUAAAAGUCUGACCUUGUGAAAAAAGCAAACGUGAGUGGCCCUGCUUAUGUUUCACCUUGCGUUGCUCAGUGAUAGUUCUGCAAAGUCGCAGGAAACCUGGAAUCAUCUAAUUAUCGUGAGUGUUGGUGAGUAACACCCAUAGGCACUGGCUCCCGGGGAAAUACAGAGUCAGGUUCCUCCGAGCCGCUGGCCACAGCAUUUUUGUUAAGCAGUUCAUCGUUAACCUUGUUGUACAUGUCUCUCUCUCAAGGUUCCUUAUUUAAUAAUGUCUAGUUGAUUCAUUAACAUGGAAUUCAUGGCCAGUACCUCUGUCACUCAUGCCUGACUGAAGUUGAUCAGCACGUCUUUUUCUCCCUUAGGCACAUGACAGCCUUCUUGCAAUCAAGAAACUACGUGUGGCCAGGAUCUCAUCCACUAUCACAGUUUCAGCUUUCCCCAAACUGGAAUGUGUCUUUGCAGACGCCCAUCCUUAUUAAAGGGCAAAGACUUCUCAUACACCUAGGAUGGAUCUUAUAUUCUUGGCGGGACUGCAGAGAAGGUGCCGUGUCCUGAGUCCUCAUGUCAGGGCACAGGCUUCCAGCCAGUUCUACCUGGGUUAUGUUUAUCUCAAUUCCCUGGUGGUAUUGGUGUCUGCUGGGUUUUGCCAGAAUGAAGACACCGUGUUUUCAUUUGUCAGUUGAUUCGUAUUUUCCAGGAAGACAUUCUGAGAUUACAGCAUUGUCUUAGUCAAGGUGCUGCAGAAGGACAGAACUAAUAGGAUAUAUGUACAUAUGAAAGAAAGUUUAUGAAGAACUGGCUCACACCAUCACAAGGCAAAGUCCCAUGACAGGCCAUCUGCAAGCUGAGGAGCGAGGAAGCCAGCAGUGGC